rnacentral:snRNA from 1 species
UUGCGAUGGUCCCUGCGGA